AAGCAAAUCAUAACUGAUGAUGAAAAAUGGAUUCUAUAAAAAACCAAAAAUUGUACACUGCCAAUAAUUAAUACAUGAAAUAUAUGAAGCACUAUGGCAGGGAGAUUCACAAUAAAACUUAGGGAAUCAAUGGGAAGAAGCGCUUUCAAUUUGAAAAAAUUGAAAACGCUUUCGAUUCAAAAAAAUCUCCCUGCGAUAGUGCUUCAUAUAUUUUGUGUAUUAAUUAUUGGCAGUACAAUUUUUGGUUUUUUAUAUAAAGAAACUGACACUGUAAUUACAAGAGUAUUUAUUAUAAAAUUUUUUAACGAAAUUAUACAACAC
rnacentral:lncRNA from 1 species